rnacentral:rRNA from 1 species
GACGAACGCUGGCGGCGUGCUUAACACAUGCAAGUCGAACGGAAAGGCCCUGCUUUUGUGGGGUGCUCGAGUGGCGAACGGGUGAGUAACACGUGAGUAACCUGCCCUUGACUUUGGGAUAACUUCAGGAAACUGGGGCUAAUACCGGAUAGGAGCUCCUGCUGCAUGGUGGGGGUUGGAAAGUUUCGGCGGUUGGGGAUGGACUCGCGGCUUAUCAGCUUGUUGGUGGGGUAGUGGCUUACCAAGGCUUUGACGGGUAGCCGGCCUGAGAGGGUGACCGGCCACAUUGGGACUGGGAUACGGCCCAGACUCCUCCGGGGGGCAGCAGUGGGGAAUAUUGCACAAUGGGCGGAAGCCUGAUGCAGCAACGCCGCGUGCGGGAUGACGGCCUUCGGGUUGUAAACCGCUUUCGCCUGUGACGAAGCGUGAGUGACGGUAAUGGGUAAAGAAGCACCGGCUAACUACGUG